GAUGAAGAACGUAGCGAAAUGCGAUAAGUAAUGUGAAUUGCAGAAUUCAGUGAAUCAUCGAAUCUUUGAACGCACAUUGCGCCCAUUAGCAUUCUAGUGGGCAUGCCUGUUCGAGCGUCAUUUCAACCCUUAAGCCCUGUUGCUUAGCGUUGGGAGCCUACAGUACUGUAGCUCCCCAAAGUUAGUGGCGGAGUCGGUUUCACACUCUAGACGUAGUAAAUUUUUCUCGUCUGUAGUUGAGCCGGUCCCCUGCCGUAAAACACCCAAUUUAUCAAGGUUGACCUCGGAUCAGGUAGGAAUACCCGCUGAACUUAAGCAUAUCAUAAGCGGAGGA
rnacentral:misc_RNA from 1 species